rnacentral:lncRNA from 1 species
GGGGUUUUCAUAUGUCGUGUCAAGAUAAUGUAUGCUAUUUACCGUUGUCUGCGGAAAUUUUUUUUCUGAUAAAGUCACUUUUCUUAAAACCAAUAAAAUAUAGUUAACAUAUAUAUAUAUAUUUUAUCUAACUGUGUUCAUUGAUCAGGAUGUUUUUGACAACCCACACCUAAAAUUCGUUUUGGUCUAUCCCGUUUAACACAUGGACAUUUCCGCGGG